rnacentral:sRNA from 1 species
CCCUAGCCCCGAUAGCAGUGGAAAUCCUUUUAUUUUUUUUCUUUAAAAAAAUAAAAGAUUGUAACGGAUAGCGGGAUUAGCU